UAUGGGUCCCCUCGCAACGAUAGGCUGUGAAUCCGGUCAGGCCCGGAAGGGAGCAGCCGCAGCAGCUGACUCGUGUGCCGGGGUGUGGCUUGUGCGG
rfam:Solemya pervernicosa gill symbiont isolate Sp-SM6 Selarraichensis_sym_scaffold50, whole genome shotgun sequence.